GACGAGGGGUCCUAGCGUUGUUCGGAAUCAUUGGGCGUAAAGCGGGUGUAGGCGGAUUACUAAGUCAGAAGUGAAAGCCCCGGGCUUAACCUGGGAAGUGCUUUUGAAACUAGUGAUCUUGAGUGUGGGAGAGGAUAGUGGAAUUCCUGGUGUAGUGGUGAAAUACGUAGAUAUCAGGAGGAACAUCGGUGGGGAAGCCGGCUAUCUGGCCCAACACUGACGCUCAGACCCGAAAGCGUGGGGAUCAAACAGG
rnacentral:misc_RNA from 1 species